AGGCAAGACUACCCGCUGAACUUAAGCAUAUCAUUAAGCGGAGGAAAAGAAACUAACCAGGAUUCCCUUAGUAACGGCGAGCGAACAGGGAGGAGCCCAACCACAUAUCGCUCGAAUGCGGGGAGCGUUCGCGUUCGGUGCAGUUUGGGGUUAUGGGGGAGGAAGUGGAUGUGGGUUUGCGAAACGAUAGAAGCCUUCGGGUGAAGCGAGCAGCCUUGUGCAAUGGAGUAAUCCACCAGAGAGGGUGACAGUCCCGUAACCCGCACAGUGCUCCAGUUUUCGUUGUAUGAACUUACGGGUUUAUACCCACUUCACGUCCCCCGAGAGUCGAGUUGCUUGAGAGUGCAGCUUGAAGAGGGUGGUACGCCCCAUCUAAGGCUAAAUAUCUACGAGAGACCGAUAGCGAACAAGUACCGUGAGGGAAAGAUGAAAGAGCACCCCGGUGAGGGGAGUGAACAGUACCUGAAAUCAUUGAAGCCGAAGCAUUGGGGUGUAUCAUACGCUUUGGUGAAAGGAUAAAGAAUACCCUUCUAUUCGUUAUCCCGCGUGGCGUGGCUGGCCCCGGCCGCUGGGUACCUGUUUAAGAGGCGAGACGACCUUGACCGUACAGUCGCGCGCUACUUGCCAAACCUGGCGACCGUGGAUACUCCGAGUGUGUUCCUAGGAUCCCUCCCAUCUGGGGGGAUCCUAGGAACACCCAGGGCACAGCCUAUAUACAGUCUAAUGACCCGUCUUGUAACACGGACCAAGGAGCCUAGUGAUCAUGCGAGUCAGUGGGUGAACCAUCCCACAGGCGCAAGAAACCUGAGCCGGUGCGAGGUAGACUCUCGCGUCGGCCGGUCGAAUAAAGCCAACGAGUAUAUAUCUUGGUAGGCGGUAACGAUCCGGUGUUAGCAUGCUCAGUAGGACCCGAAAGGUGGUGAUCUAUGCCUGGGCAGGGUGAAGCCGAGAGAAAUCUCGGUGGAGGCCCGAAGGAAUGCUGACGUGCAAAUCGCUUCUGUGACCUGGGUAUAGUGGCGAAAGACCAAUCGAACCACCUGGUAGCUGGUUCCCUCCGAAGUUUCUCACAGGAUAGCUGGAGCUCGUGCAGUCACGUCGAGUACAGAUACUGAUUAUGAAUUCGGGGACCUCGGGUCUUCGAUUCGUUCUCAAACUCAGAAUCGAUGCAUGAUACCCUUGCUUACAUGAAGGGUAUCUUCUGAUGAGAGCUCCAAGUGGGCCAGUUCUGGUAAGCAGAGCUGGCGAUGCGGGAUGAACCGAGUGUUGAGUUAAAGUGUCCAACUGCGUGCUGACCUAGAUCCCAGGAAGGGCGUCAAUUGAUAUUGACAGCAGGGCGGUGAUCAUAGAAGUCGAAACCCGCUAAGGAGUGUGUUACAACUCACCUGCCGAACCAAUCGGCCCCGAAAAUGGAUGACGCUCAAGCAAGGCGACUUACACUCAACCGUGGGAGUGUGUGACAGUCUCACGGGUAGGAGGGCGUAGACAUCGCGUUGAAGCGGCACGGCGUGAGCCCGCGUGGAGCGAUGCCUAGUGCAGAUCUUGGUGGUAGUAGCACGUAUUCAGAUGAGAAC
rnacentral:rRNA from 1 species